UACGAAGGGGGCUAGCGUUGUUCGGAAUUACUGGGCGUAAAGCGCACGUAGGCGGAUAUUUAAGUCAGGGGUGAAAUCCCGGGGCUCAACCCCGGAACUGCCUUUGAUACUGGGUAUCUAGAGUCCAGAAGAGGUGAGUGGAAUUCCGAGUGUAGAGGUGAAAUUCGUAGAUAUUCGGAGGAACACCAGUGGCGAAGGCGGCUCACUGGUCUGGUACUGACGCUGAGGUGCGAAAGCGUGGGGAGCAAACAGGG
rnacentral:rRNA from 1 species